AUGCGCAUCGACCCGUCAAAUAUUUCUAGAAGAAUUAACCCCGAUAAUAAACCGCGAUCAUCGAGGAUUCCGAUGCAAAAGCUUACUUACUGCUCGUGGAGAGAGAGCUUAGCUGCGCAUGAUCGAUCUCGAUCCACAUCGGCGUCGGUCCCUCCCCUUGCUGCUUCCGCGAAUGAGGACACUCUCUCAUCGACCGAUUCACCGCAGGAAAUGGUCAGACCACGGCGCUCCGCGGGCGGCGGCGACGUCACGGUUGGGGACGAGGAAGGCGAGGGCGAGCAGCGCGAGCAUGAGCGCCACAGGGACGAGCAGCAGCAGCCACGGCGGCGGCGGCAGUGGGGGCAAAAGCAGCGGGAGCAGAAACAGCGCCGUUGCCGCCGCCGCCACGAGCAGCAUCGUCGUCGCCACGCUCCCUUCCAUAUCCCGAGCUAG
rnacentral:rRNA from 1 species